rnacentral:rRNA from 1 species
CCUACGGGAUGCAGCAGUGAGGAAUAUUGGUCAAUGGGCGCGAGCCUGAACCAGCCAAGUAGCGUGAAGGAUGACUGCCCUACGGGUUGUAAACUUCUUUUAUAAAGGAAUAAAGUGAGGCACGUGUGCCUUUUUGUAUUUACUUUAUGAAUAAGGAUCGGCUAACUCCGUGCCAGCAGCCGCGGUAAUACGGAGGAUCCGAGCGUUAUCCGGAUUUCUUGGGAUUAAAGGGAGCGUUGAGGGGUUGUUAAGUCAGGUGUGAAAGGUUGCGGCUCAAACGUAAAAUUUCAAUUGAUACUGGCAGCCUUGAGUGCAGGUGAGGGAGGCGGAAUUCGUGGUG